rnacentral:rRNA from 1 species
UGGGGAAUAUUGCACAAUGGGCGAAAGCCUGAUGCAGCAACGCCGCGUGAGUGAUGAAGGCCUUCGGGUUGUAAAGCUCUGUCUUCUGGGACGAUAAUGACGGUACCAGAGGAGGAAGCCACGGCUAACUACGUGCCAGCAGCCGCGGUAAUACGUAGGUGGCUAGCGUUGUCCGGAUUUACUGGGCGUAAAGGAUGCGUAGGCGGAUACUUAAGUCAGAUGUGAAAAUCCCGGGCUUAACUUGGGAACUGCAUUUGAAACUGGGUAUCUAGAGUGCGGGAGAGGAAAGUGGAAUUCCUAGUGUUGCGGUGAAAUGCGUAGAGAUUAGGAAGAACACCAGUGGCGAAGGCGACUUUCUGGACCGUAACUGACGCUGAGGCAUGAAAGCGUGGGGAGCAAACA